rnacentral:rRNA from 1 species
CGUUAAAACUCAAAUGAAUUGACGGGGGCCCGCACAAGCGGUGGAGCAUGUGGUUUAAUUCGAUGCAACGCGAAGAACCUUACCUACUCUUGACAUCCAGAGAACUUAGCAGAGAUGCUUGGUGCCUUCGGGAACUCUGAGACAGGUGCUGCAUGGCUGUCGUCAGCUCGUGUUGUGAAAUGUUGGGUUAAGUCCCGCAACGAGCGCAACCCUUACCCUUUGUUGCCAGCGGUUAGGCCGGGAACUCAAAGGAGACUGCCAGUGAUAAACUGGAGGAAGGUGGGGAUGACGUCAAGUCAUCAUGGCCCUUACGGGUAGGGCUACACACGUGCUACAAUGGCGCAUACAAAGAGAAGCGACCUCGCGAGAGCAAGCGGACCUCAUAAAGUGCGUCGUAGUCCGGAUUGGAGUCUGCAACUCGACUCCAUGAAGUCGGAAUCGCUAGUAAUCGUAGAUCAGAAUGCUACGGUGAAUACGUUCCCGGGCCUUGUACACACCGCCCGUCACACCAUGGGAGUGGGUUGCAAAAGAAGUAGGUAGCUUAACCUUCGGGAGGGCGCUUACCACUUUGUGAUUCAUGACUGGGGUGAAGUCGUAACAAGGUAACCAAGGGCGAAUUCUG